rnacentral:rRNA from 1 species
CCAUAAGAUAUGUUCUCGCAGUGAGCCACGGUGCUAAGGUCCGUGGACGAGAGAGGGAGAACUCAGACCAUCAGCUAAGGCCCCCAAAUCUAUGCUAAGUUGAUCUAACGAAGUUGGGUCGCAUUGACAGCCAGGAUGUUUGCUUGGAAGCAGCCAUUCAUUUAAAGAGUGCGUAACAGCUCACUGGUCGAGCGACCCGGCGUGGAUGAUACUCGGGCAUCAAGCAUAGUGCCGAAGCUAUGGAAUACAGCAAUGUAUUGGUAGGGGAGCAUUCUAAUAACGUAGAAGGAGUAGCGUAAGCACUACUGGAGUGAUUAGAAAAGCAAAUGUAGGUAUAAGUAACGAUAAGGCUGGCGAGAAACCAGCCCGCCGAUAGACUAAGGUUUCCUGAACAACGCUAAUCGGUUCAGGGUCAGUCGGGACCUAAGGCGAAGCCGAACGGCGUAGUCGAUGGACAACUGGUUAAUAUUC